AUACGUAGGGUGCGAGCGUUGUCCGGAAUUACUGGGCGUAAAGAGCUCGUAGGCGGUUUGUCGCGUCGUCUGUGAAAUUCCGGGGCUUGACUCCGGGCGUGCAGGCGAUACGGGCAUAACUUGAGUACUGUAGGGGAGACUGGAAUUCCUGGUGUAGCGGUGAAAUGCGCAGAUAUCAGGAGGAACACCGGUGGCGAAGGCGGGUCUCUGGGCAGUAACUGACGCUGAGGAGCGAAAGCAUGGGUAGCGAACAGGAUUAGAUACCCUGGUAGUCCAUGCCGUAAACGGUGGGCGCUAGGUGUAGGGGUCUUCCACGACUUCUGUGCCGUAGCUUACGCAUUAAGCGCCCCGCCUGGGGAGUACGGCCGCAAGGCUAAAACUCAAAUGAAUUGACGGGG
rnacentral:rRNA from 1 species